rnacentral:rRNA from 1 species
CCUACGGGUGGCAGCAGUGGGGAAUAUUGGACAAUGGGGGCAACCCUGAUCCAGCCAUGCCGCGUGUGUGAAGAAGGCCCUCGGGUUGUAAAGCACUUUCAGUGAGGAAGAACGCCUGGUGGUUAAUACCCAUCAGGAAAGACAUCACUCACAGAAGAAGCACCGGCUAACUCCGUGCCAGCAGCCGCGGUAAUACGGAGGGUGCGAGCGUUAAUCGGAAUUACUGGGCGUAAAGCGCGCGUAGGUGGCUUGAUAAGCCGGUUGUGAAAGCCCCGGGCUCAACCUGGGAACGGCAUCCGGAACUGUCAAGCUAGAGUGCAGGAGAGGAAGGUAGAAUUCCCGGUGUAGCGGUGAAAUGCGUAGAGAUCGGGAGGAAUACCAGUGGCGAAGGCGGCCUUCUGGACUGACACUGACACUGAGGUGUGAAAGCGUGGGUAGCAAACAGGAUUAGAUACCCCAGUAGUC